rnacentral:rRNA from 1 species
CGCUAAUACCGCAUACGUCCUGAGGGAGAAAGUGGGGGAUCUUCGGACCUCACGCUAUCAGAUGAGCCUAGGUCGGAUUAGCUAGUUGGUGGGGUAAAGGCCUACCAAGGCGACGAUCCGUAACUGGUCUGAGAGGAUGAUCAGUCACACUGGAACUGAGACACGGUCCAGACUCCUACGGGAGGCAGCAGUGGGGAAUAUUGGACAAUGGGCGAAAGCCUGAUCCAGCCAUGCCGCGUGUGUGAAGAAGGUCUUCGGAUUGUAAAGCACUUUAAGUUGGGAGGAAGGGCAGUAAGUUAAUACCUUGCUGUUUUGACGUUACCAACAGAAUAAGCACCGGCUAACUUCGUGCCAGCAGCCGCGGUAAUACGAAGGGUGCAAGCGUUAAUCGGAAUUACUGGGCGUAAAGCGCGCGUAGGUGGUUCAGCAAGUUGGAUGUGAAAUCCCCGGGCUCAACCUGGGAACUGCAUCCAAAAACUACUGAGCUAGAGUACGGUA